CCUACGGGAGGCAGCAGUAGGGAAUUUUCCGCAAUGGGCGAAAGCCUGACGGAGCAAUACCGCGUGAGGGAUGACGGCCUAUGGGUUGUAAACCUCUUUUUUCAGGGAGGAAUAAAUGACGUGUACCUGAAGAAUAAGCAUCGGCUAACUCCGUGCCAGCAGCCGCGGUAAGACGGAGGAUGCAAGUGUUAUCCGGAAUCACUGGGCGUAAAGCGUCUGUAGGUGGUCAAAUAAGUCAACUGUUAAAUCUUGAGGCUCAACCUCAAAACCGCAGUCGAAACUAUUAGACUAGAGUAUAGUAGGGGUAAAGGGAAUUUCCAGUGGAGCGGUGAAAUGCGUAGAUAUUGGAAGGAACACCGAUGGCGAAGGCACUUUACUGGGCUAUUACUAACACUCAGAGACGAAAGCUAGGGUAGCAAAUGGGAUUAGAUACCCCAGUAGUCCUAGCUGUAAACCAUGGAUACUAGAUGUUGAACAGAUCGACCUGUGCAGUAUCAAAGCUAACGCGUUAAGUAUCCCGCCUGGGAAGUAUGCUCACAAGAGUGAAACUUAAAUGAAUUGACGG
rnacentral:rRNA from 1 species